UACAAGAACUGCUCGAAUCAAGAUACACAAGGCGCUGCCAACUGAUAUAAAUACAUAUACCAUGAACUGGGUGGAUUCCAUUUUUGAUUUGCUUCCAGUUCGUGGAUGGCAAGCUGAUGCCAUCCAAUAGUUGCUUCCCACUUCAAAUAUCUGAAAGAAGCAUUGUGCUGCAAUUAUCAUAGGAAUGAAAAGACCACCUCGAGCAGCUGUGAGGGGCUUACCAUAAUAAGGUCUGCAUCAACUAGAAAUUCAACUUGGUGCGUGACGUAUAACACAGUUUUAUCCCUUAGGACCCCCAUCAGGCAUUUCUGCAAAAAAUGUAUAGAGCCAAUGUUAAUGGUUAUGUAACAGGGCUUCUCCUUGCCAGUAAAAAUAUAGAUAUGAGCAAUUUAUUUUAGCGAGAGAAAUAAAUAUCAAUAAUAAUAUGGACAAGAUUAUUGAAUAAUCACAAGAUCUCAAAUAUACGAUGCCCAUUGUUUGUCCUAGAGAACA